ACGAAAUAGUAGCAAUACUAUUUAGUGGCGGAAGGGUUAGUAAUACAUGGGUAACGUACCUUUAACUUUGGAAUAACGGUUGGAAAUGAUCGCUAAUACCAAAUGUGGUGCGACUAGGCAUCUAGUUGACAUUAAAGUGGGGGAUCGCAAGACCUCGCGGUUAGAGAGCGGCCCAUGGGAUAUCAGCUUGUUGGUGAGGUAAGAGCUCACCAAGGCU
rnacentral:rRNA from 1 species